rnacentral:misc_RNA from 1 species
UUUCCGUAGGUGAACCUGCGGAAGGAUCAUUACUGAGUGAGGGCCCUCUGGGUCCAACCUCCCACCCGUGUUUAUUGCACCUUGUUGCUUCGGUGAGCCCGCCUCACGGCCGCCGGGGGGCAUAUGCCCCCGGGCCCGCGCUCGCCGAAGACACCCGUGAACUCUGGCUGAAGUUUGCAGUCUGAGCGAAAACUAAAUAAGUUAAAACUUUCAACAACGGAUCUCUUGGUUCCG